rnacentral:rRNA from 1 species
CCAAUAGCGUAUAUUAAAGUUGUUGCAGUUAAAAAGCUCGUAGUUGAAUUUCGGGAUCAAUAUGCCGGUCAUGCCUUGGUAUGCACUGGUAUCUUUGAUUUCUCCCUUCUGACGAACUUUGAUGUCAUUAAUUUGGUGUCAUAGGGAAUCAGGACUGUUACUUUGAAAAAAUUAGAGUGUUUAAAGCAGGCUCACGCUUGAAUACAUUAGCAUGGAAUAAUGAAAUAGGACGUUUGAUUCUAUUUUGUUGGUUUCUAGGAUCGACGUAAUGAUUAAUAGGGAUAGUUGGGGGCAUUAGUAUUCAAUUGUCAGAGGUGAAAUUCUUGGAUUUAUUGAAGACUAACUACUGCGAAAGCAUUUGCCAAGGAUGUUUUCAUUAAUCAAGAACGAAAGUUAGGGGAUCGAAGACGAUCAGAUACCGUCGUAGUCUUAACCAUAAACUAUGCCGACUAGGGAUCGGAUGAUGCUAAUUUUUUAAUGACUCAUUCGGCGCCUUACG